CCGACCUUAGCUCAGUUGGUAGAGCGGAGGACUGUAGUGGUUGCAGCUUAAUCCUUAGGUCACUGGUUCGAAUCCGGUAGGUCAGA
rnacentral:tRNA from 1 species